UACGUAGGGGGCAAGCGUUGUCCGGAUUUAUUGGGCGUAAAGAGCGUGUAGGCGGCUUUACAGGUCCGUUGUGAAAUACUCGAGGCUCAACCUCGAGACGCCGGUGGAAACCGUAAGGCUAGAGUCCGGAAGAGGAGAGUGGAAUUCCUGGUGUAGCGGUGAAAUGCGCAGAUAUCAGGAAGAACACCUAUGGCGAAGGCAGCUCUCUGGGACGGUACUGACGCUGAGACGCGAAAGCGUGGGGAGCGAACAGG
rnacentral:rRNA from 1 species